UAAUACCGGAUAACACAUGAAACCGCAUGGUUUCAUGAUGAAAGACGGUUUUGCUGUCACUUAUAGAUGGACCCGCGGCGUAUUAGCUAGUUGGUAAGGUAACGGCUUACCAAGGCAACGAUACGUAGCGACCUGAGAGGGUGAUCGGCCACACUGGAACUGAGACACGGUCCAACUCCUACGGGAGGCAGCAGUAGGGAAUCUUCCGCAAUGGGCGAAAGCCUGACGGAGCAACGCCGCGUGAGUGAUGAAGGUCUUCGAUCGUAAAACUCUGUUAUUAGGGAAGAACAAGGAUGUAAGUAAUAUGCAUCCCUUGACGGUACCUAAUCAGAAAGCCACGGCUAACUACGUGCCAGCAGCCGCGGUAAUACGUAGGUGGCAAGCGUUAUCCGGAAUUAUUGGCGUAAAGCGCGCGUAGGCGGUUUUUUAAGUCUGAUGUGAAAGCCCACGGCUCACCGUGGAGGGUCAUUGGAAACUGGAAAACUUGAGUGCAGAAGAGGAAAGUGGAAUUCCAUGUGAGCGGUGAAAUGCGCAGAGAUAUGGAGGAACACCAGUGGCGAAGGCGACUUUCUGGUCUGCAACUGACGCUGAUGUGCGAAAGCGUGGGAUCAAACAGGAUUAGAUACCCUGGUAGUCCACGCCGUAAACGAUGAGUGCUAAGUGUUAGGGGUUUCCGCCCCUUAGUGCUGCAGCUAACGCAUUAAGCACUCCGCCUGGGGAGUACGGCCGCAAGGCUGAAACUCAAGGAAUUGACGGGGACCGCACAAGCGGUGGAGCAUGUGGUUUAAUUCGAAGCAACGCGAAGAACCUUACCAAAUCUUGACAUCCUUUGACAACUCUAGAGAUAGAGCUUCCCCUUCGGGGGACAAAGUGACAGGUGGUGCAUGGUUGUCGUCAGCUCGUGUCGUGAGAUGUUGGGUUAAGUCCCGCAACGAGCGCAACCCUUAGCUUAGUUGCCAGCAUUAAGUUGGGCACUCUA
rnacentral:rRNA from 1 species